rnacentral:rRNA from 1 species
UACGGGGGGAGCAAGCGUUGUUCGGAUUUACUGGGCGUAAAGGGCGCGUAGGCGGCCUCCGCAAGUCAGUUGUGAAAUCUCCGAGCUUAACUCGGAAAGGUCAACUGAUACUGCAGGGCUAGAGUGCGGAAGGGGCAACUGGAAUUCUUGGUGUAGCGAUGAAAUGCGUAGAUAUCAAGAGGAACACCUGCGGCGAAGGCGGGUUGCUGGGCCGACACUGACGCUGAGGCGCGAAAGCUAGGGGAGCGAACGGG